AAUCAACGCUGGCGGCGCGCCUAACACAUGCAAGUCGAACGAGAAAGCAGGAGCAAUCUUGUGAGUAAAGUGGCGUACGGGUGAGUAACACGUGGAUCAUCUACCCUCUUGUGGGGGAUAACCCUGGGAAACCGGGGCUAAUACCGCAUAAGUCCGAGAGGAGAAAGCAGCAAUGCGCAGGAGGAGGAGUCCGCGGCCGAUUAGCUAGUUGGUAGGGUAAAAGCCUACCAAGGCAACGAUCGGUAGCCGGCCUGAGAGGGCACACGGCCACACUGGCACUGAAACACGGGCCAGACUCCUACGGGAGGCAGCAGUGGGGAAUCUUGCACAAUGGGGGCAACCCUGAUGCAGCGACGCCGCGUGAGCGAUGAAGCCCUU
rnacentral:rRNA from 1 species